GAAUCUUAGACAAUGGGCGCAAGCCUGAUCUAGCCAUGCCGCGUGAGCGAUGAAGGCCUUAGGGUUGUAAAGCUCUUUCGUGGGGGAAGAUAAUGACUGUACCCCAAGAAGAAGCCCCGGCUAACUCCGUGCCAGCAGCCGCGGUAAUGCGGAGGGGGCUAGCGUUGUUCGGAAUUACUGGGCGUAAAGCGCACGUAGGCGGAUCAGAAAGUCAGAGGUGGAAUCCCAGGGCUCAACCUUGGAACUGCCUUUGAAACUCCUGAUCUUGAGGUCGAGAGAGGUGAGUGGAAUUCCGAGUGUAGAGGUGAAAUUCGUAGAUAUUCGGAGGAACACCAGUGGCGAAGGCGGCUCACUGGCUCGAUACUGACGCUGAGGUGCGAAAGCGUGGGGAGCAAACAGG
rnacentral:rRNA from 1 species